GACGAACGCUGGCGGCGUGCUUAACACAUGCAAGUCGAACGGUGAAGCGCCUUCCUUUUUGGCGGGUGUGGAGGAGGGGCGAACGGGGGAGUAACACGUGAGUAACCUGCCCCCUUCUGCUGGAUAACCGCAUGAAAGUGUGGCUAAUACGGGAUAUUCCGGACCUGUCGCAUGAUGGGUUUGGGAGAGCUUUUGUGUCGGUAGGGGACGGUCUCGGGGCCUCUCAGCUUGUUGGUGGGGGGAUGGCCUACCAAGGCGGCGGCGCCGAGCCGGCCGGAGAGGAGGGUCGGCGGCACCAGUGGGGAGGCAAGACCGCGACGCCUACUGCGGGAAGCAGCAGUGGAGAAUAGUGCACGGUGGGAAGCAGGAUGAUGCAGCGACGCCGCGUGGAGGAUGGAGGCCUGCGGGUUGUGAACCUCUGUCGGGAGAGAAGCAGGGCUGGCUCAUUUGUGGGUGUGUUGACGGUAGCUGGAUAAGAAGCGCCGGCUAACUACGUG
rnacentral:rRNA from 1 species